GCAUUCUGCUGGCAUUGUGGGCCAUGAGCCAGGCCACAUGGUGUCACUGAGGGUCAGCCCUUGGGAAAGAAGAGUUUCCUCAGGGAGCUGACUGAAUCCCCACUGGGGAGAGAUGGUUUCUGCAAGAGACUGGCUUACUUGGGAAUCAGACCCAAGACAAUGCCUUCCCUGAUGCCUCACAGGGGUGACUGUGGUCCAGGCAGGAAAGAGUCCCCUCAGUCCCAUGCAGGGCAGCUCCCAGCUGAGACUUUGUGUGCGAGUCUGGCCCAGGCCACAUGAGGGGGGCCACAGGGGCUCUGGGGUGCCACAGGGGUCACACGAGAGCUCUCUUUCCCUGGAGAGGUGCUCGAAUGGGCCCGUGGGGUCAGGCUGCAGAGAUUCGAGGACUGCAUCCCAACCAUGGCCCUAAAUGCAACCGACUGUGUUGAGUAAUGGGCCAUCUCAAUGGCGCCUCUUUGAACUUGGUGGGGGGUGGUGCUGUUUCCCUGGGUUUGGGUCAAGACUGAGCUCUGUCCACUGCUUGGUGAUGCUGCAGGCUGGCCCUUGAACUUGUGGGCUUUGGUCUAAGUCGGCAGCCCACAUCCUCCUGGAGGUCACCCUUUGCAUGUCGGUGAGUGGCUGGAAGAGUGGAUCCUAAGGUAGGAAGUCCCGCUGUCGAUGGUCCUGUCCUGGGAAUUUGCCACCCAGGCCUCUUCUGAGCCAUGGGGUCACCUCCAGGGUGGCAGGAUCUUGGGUCUAAGGAAAGAGAGGAUACCAUGCGGCCCAGGGUUGGCCGAAGGUGGCCUGACUCUGUUUUGGGGACCUGUGCGGGACAUGGAUGGGGACUCGCCAGAGAAAGCCUGUGGCCCUGGGACUCCAGGCUUCGAUUUCAAGUGUGGUUUGCCAAGAGUGCCCCACUUCCAUGAUAGGUCUGUGUUCUGUGUGGAUCGCAUCACGUGAGUAACCCUCACCCCUUUGCCGCAUGGAGGCAUGAGGCCCCGUUUGGACACAUGUCCUCCUCCUGUCCCUCCAGGUGGUGAGCCCAGAGGAAGACUUGUGUUGGGCUCAAUGUCUUCGAGCCAGUGUCCCAAAGCCAGGUGCCCGGCCCCUGGUGUGCUGAAGCUUGGGACCUUCCUAGUGACCUGGUCUCCUGCACUGACCUGUGGUGACUACAACCGGGUCCCACCGGAUGCCUGUGCAGGAAGGAGGGUGUCCUGGGUUGGGUCGAUGAUGAGAACCUUGUAUUGUCCUGAAGAGGGGUGAUGACUUAAAAAUGAUGCUCAAUAAGAUUACCCUGAAGCCCAGCCUAGUGAGCUCUUCCACCCAGGCAGGGCACCCUGGCAUUGAGCGGCAUAGGAUUGGUGGCUGAGAGAGCACAGGGUGCCCUGCGUCUGCGACGGGCCAGUGUUCUACAUGGAUCCCACUACAUAGGUCCAUGGAGGAUGUUGAACCUUCAGGAAGACUUGUAUUGGCCCCAAUGGCCCUGGGCCAACGUCUGUCAGUAAGGUGCCCAGCCCCAGUGCCCUUCCUGAUGCCCUCGUCUCCUGCAUUGAGCUAUGUGAGCUCUUCUGCCCAGCAGACCCCCUUGCAUUGACCGACAUAG